UGGGGAGUAUUGGACAAUGGGCGCAAGCCUGAUCCAGCCAUGCCGCGUGGGUGAAGAAGGCCCUAGGGUUGUAAACCCCUUUCAGCGGGGAAGAUAAUGACGGUACCUCGCUAAAAGCACCGGCUAACUCCGUGCCAGCAGCCGCGGUAAUACGGAGGGUGCAAGCGUUAUCCGGAAUCACUGGGCGUAAAGGGCACGUAGGCGGUCUAGUAAGUCCGAUGUUAAAGCGUGGGGCUCAACCCCAUCACGGCGUUGGAUACUGCUAGGCUUGACGACUGGAGAGGUGAGUAGAAUUACCAGUGUAGCGGUGGAAUGCGUAGAUACUGGUAGGAAUACCCAUUGCGAAGGCAGCUCACUGGACAGUACGUGACGCUGAGGUGCGAAAGUGUGGGGAGCAAACCGGAUUAGAUACCCGUGUAGUCC
rnacentral:rRNA from 1 species